AUGAAAAAUCUCUCAACCAAGGAACUGAAACAACUUGCGGAUGGACAUCGUUCUGAUGUUGUUUUCAGAGUUUCAAGAAUUAGAGGUCAUUUAGGUUCAAGUAUAGGUGUUGUUGAACUCGCUAUUGCUCUUCACUAUGUCUUUAAUACUCCCCAGGACAAGAUUUUAUGGGAUGUCGGUCAUCAGAUUGGUGUUUAUCUAUGGUUGUUGAGAAUGAUUUUAACUUUGAUGCGUGGUCUAAUUUGA